rnacentral:rRNA from 1 species
UGAGGAACAUGACCUUCGGCGGGGGAUAGCCGACCCAACGGCCGGGUAAUACCGCGUACGACCACUUUGGGACAUCCCUAGGUGGUGAAAGCAGCAAUGCGCCGAUGGAGUGCCUCGCGGCCUAUCAGCUAGUUGGUGAGGUAAUGGCUCACCAAGGCGACGACGGGUAGCUGGU